rnacentral:rRNA from 1 species
UACGUAGGGUGCGAGCGUUACUCGGAAUUACUGGGCGUAAAGCGUGCGCAGGCGGUUUUGUAAGCCAGAUGUGAAAGCCCCGGGCUUAACCUGGGAAUGGCAUUUGGGACUGCAAGGCUUGAGUGCGGCAGAGGAGACUGGAAUUCCUGGUGUAGCAGUGAAAUGCGUAGAUAUCAGGAGGAAUACCGAUGGCGAAGGCAGGUCUCUGGGCUGACACUGACGCUCAUGCACGAAAGCGUGGGGAGCAAACAGG